rnacentral:RNase_P_RNA from 1 species
AAAGACGGGUACGCAAUCGCUUUACAUAGCUAACUAAUUAGCUAUAUUGUAAAGAGGAAAGUCCGAACUUUAACUGCAAAAGGUAUUAGCAAAUAUUGCAGAAAACGGUAGUAGGUAACUCCUAUCGCCCGUGAGGGUAGAGGUGCGAGCAGAGACGUCUUUUUUGGAAACAAAGAAGAUAUCCUUAAUAAAAGGAUAAGUUUUUGCAGUAAUGCAAAAAGUGAAACGGCUAAAUCCUUACUGGAAAGCAAGACUGAAGUUUAGUCGCUUGACUGUUAAAAGUGAUUUUAACAGCAGAGAAAUGAUUGCGCUUUUAAACUUAUUUUAAAAGACAGAACUCGGUGUACAACCCGUCUUUAUUU